rnacentral:rRNA from 1 species
CCCUUAGAUGUUCUGGGCCGCACGCGCGCUACACUGAUGCAUUCAACGAGUCUAAAACCUGGUCUGAUAGGGCUGGGUAAUCUUUUGAAAGUGCAUCGUGAUUGGGAUAGAUGAUUGCAAUUCUUCAUCUUCAACGAGGAAUGCCUAGUAAACGCAAGUCAUCAGCUUGCAUUGAUUACGUCCCUGCCCUUUGUACACACCGCCCGUCGCUCCUACCGAUUGAAUGAUCCGAUGAAUACCAUGGAUUGAGAGUUCGAACAGGUUCUCCUGUUUCAGCUUCUCGAGAAGUGGGGUAAAUCUUAUCAUUUAGAGGAAGGAGAAGUCGUAACA